rnacentral:lncRNA from 10 species
GUGGUGACCUGGGAAUCAAUGUGUGAGGUGGUGCUAUGUAGCAGGAACCCCUCUUGCUUUGCAAAUAGUUUUUUGUUUGUUUUCCUUUUUGCCCAAUAGAGCCCUGCUCUACUGACCCUUCAAUGUGCCCGUGUGCCUAAAUAUUCCUGGUCGUGUGAAAAGAACCCAGGUAUUAGCUGAACUAAGGAGCACAAUUCUGCAACAUUUUGGCACCCAAACACGGGGCUUGAGAAAUGAAUGCAAUUGGAGAAACUGGUUGUUUUACCAGGCGUUGAUUGGAAAUGUGUGCUUCCCUUUAAGCAGUCAAGCUCAACUUGCAGAACUGAUGGGAACCCCUUGGGAAAACUGGCCUCAAAUGUUUGUCUACACAGUCCACAUACAGGGUUCUUAACCUGCGAUGAGGGAAACUUCCCAGGGCUUGUCUGGGUAUGCCCACAGUGGACUGGAGCCCAAAAUGCACACUGGAGGAAGUGGAUGGAGCCACGUGGAUGUCAUGCCUUAUGCAGGGGAGGAGCCUGCUCUCUUCAGCUCCUGUGGUAAUGUGGGAAUCGAUCUGUGAGGAAACACUUUCUGAAAAUGUCAGAACUCUUGAAAACAUGGAUGAGGAAAAGCAUAAGUACUGCUUUAUGCUUUUCUUAUGAAUUUUAAAAGAUGUAAUUUAAAGAUUGAAACUCCCACAACUUUGGCAGACCAACUCCUCAGAAAACAUUAUUCUUUGACAUCAAUAUGUUUUGCACAAAAUUGAAUGGCAAGUGAAAGGCAUCAAAUGGAGCUGUCAUUUAAAUGUGCUUGCCAACUAGCUUGUUUAUCAAAACAUUCCAGACCCUUUCAAAUUCUCAUUUACAUUGUUUCUUGUUUACCACACCCAUAAAUUUGUAUUACCAGCAUAUUUAACUAUCCGGCUAUUUUGGAGAUUGAAAAAAGAAGACCUGAUUUAUCAUGUGCAAUAUCUCACACAUCUGUCAUUUC